GAUGAACGCUGGCGGCGUGCUUAACACAUGCAAGUCGAACGAUGAAGCUCAGCUUGCUGGGUGGAUUAGUGGCGAACGGGUGAGUAACACGUGAGUAACCUGCCCUUAACUCUGGGAUAAGCCUGGGAAACUAGGUCUAAUACCGGAUAGGAGCGCCUACCGCAUGGUGGGUGUUGGAAAGAUUUAUCGGUUUUGGAUGGACUCGCGGCCUAUCAGCUUGUUGGUGAGGUAAUGGCUCACCAAGGCGACGACGGUUAGCCGGCCUGAGAGGGUGACCGGCCACACUGGGACUGAGACACGGCCCAGACUCCUACGGGAGGCAGCAGUGGGGAAUAUUGCACAAUGGGCGAAAGCCUGAUGCAGCGACGCCGCGUGAGGGAUGACGGCCUUCGGGUUGUAAACCUCUUUCAGUAGGGAAGAAGCGAAAGUGACGGUACCUGCAGAAGAAGCACCGGCUAACUACGUG
rnacentral:rRNA from 1 species